AGGAGAUCUUGGUGGCCUCAGAUACUUCCUAGUUGUGUGACCCUGGGCAAGUCACUUAACCCCCCAUUGCCUAGCCUUUACCACAUUUCUGCCUUGGACUUGGUACUUAGUAUCCAUUCUAAGACAGAAAAUAAGGGGAAGAGAGAAAAACAGAAAGAGGAGAGACAGAGAUGGAGAGAGAGAAGAAGAAGAAGAAGAAGAAGAAGAAGAAGAAGAAGAAGAAGAAGAAGAAGAAGAAGAAGAAGAAGAAGAAAGAAAGAAAGAAAGAAAGAAAGAAAGAAAGAAAGAAAGAAAGAAAGAAAGAAAGAAAGAAAGAAAGAAAGAAAGAAAGAAAGAAAGAAAGAAAGAAAGAAAGAAAGAAAGAAAGAAAGAAAGAAAGAAAGAAAGAAAGAAAGAAAGAAAGAAAGAAAGAAAGAAAGAAAGAAAGAAAGAAAGAAAGAAAGAAAGAAAAAGAAAGAAAGAAAGAAAGAAAGAAAGAAAGAAAAAGAAAGAAAGAAAAAGAAAGAAAGAAAGAAAGAAAGAAAGAAAGAAAGAAAGAAAGAAAGAAAGAGAAAGAAAGGAAGAAAGGAAGAAAGGAAGAAAGGAAGAAAGGAAGGAAGGAAGGAAGGAAGGAAGGAAGGAAGGAAGGAAGGAAGGAAGGAAGGAAGGAAGGAAGGAAGGAAGGAAGGAAGGAAGGAAGGAAGGAAGGAAGGAAGGAAGGAAGAAAAGUAUCUGAGGUAAGAUUGAACCC
rnacentral:lncRNA from 1 species